UACGAAGGGGCUAGCGUUGCUCGGAAUCACUGGGCGUAAAGCGCACGUAGGCGGAUUGUUAAGUCAGGGGUGAAAUCCUGGAGCUCAACUCCAGAACUGCCUUUGAUACUGGCGAUCUCGAGUCCGGGAGAGGUGAGUGGAACUGCGAGUGUAGAGGUGAAAUUCGUAGAUAUUCGCAAGAACACCAGUGGCGAAGGCGGCUCACUGGCCCGGUACUGACGCUGAGGUGCGAAAGCUAGGGGAGCAAACAGG
rnacentral:rRNA from 1 species